CAAUAGCGUAUAUUAAUGUUGUUGCAGUUAAAAAGCUCGUAGUUGGAUUUCUGGUGGGAGCGGCCGGUCCGCCGUAAGGUGUGUACUUGGUUGUCUCCUGUCAUCCUUGUGGGAACUGCUCUGGCAUUAAGUUGUCGGGGUUAGGGAACACAUCGUUUACUGUGAAAAAAUUAGAGUGCUUAAAGCAGGCUUAUGCCGUUGAAUACAUUAGCAUGGAAUAAUAAGAUAGGACUUUGGCGUCUAUUUUGUUGGUUUGCACACCAAGGUAAUGAUUAAUAGGGAUAGUUGGGGGUAUUCGUAUUUAAUUGUCAGAGGUGAAAUUCUUGGAUUUAUGAAAGACGAACUUCUGCGAAAGCAUUUACCAAAGAUGUUUUCAUUAA
rnacentral:rRNA from 1 species